rnacentral:ribozyme from 1 species
AGAGAGAGAGAGAGAGAGAGCGAGGAAGACAGAACAGCGAGAUUUCCGUGUGUGUUUGUGUGUGUGUUUGCAUGUAUGAAUGAUGUUUUUUUUUCUGUUUUUUUUAGUAUCAGUUUGUGUA